CACGUAGGAGGCGAGCGUUGUCCGGAUUUAUUGGGCGUAAAGAGCUCGUAGGCGGCUCGGUAAGUCGGGUGUGAAACCUCCAGGCUCAACCUGGAGACGCCACCUGAUACUGCUGUGGCUAGAGUCCGGUAGGGGAGUGUGGAACUCCUGGUGUAGCGGUGAAAUGCGCAGAUAUCAGGAAGAACACCAGCGGCGAAGGCGGCACUCUGGGCCGGAACUGACGCUGAGGAGCGAAAGCGUGGGUAGCAAACAGG
rnacentral:rRNA from 1 species